rfam:Sarcophilus harrisii ctg7180002223737, whole genome shotgun sequence.
ACUUUGGAGCUUAUAAGCUCCAAAAAUUUUUACUUGGAAAAUCUAU